rnacentral:rRNA from 1 species
CCUACGGGGGGCAGCAGUGGGGGAUAUUGCACAAUGGGGGGAACCCUGAUGCAGCGACGCCGCGUGGGUGAAGGAGUGCUUCGGCAUGUAAAGCCCUAUCGGCAGGGAAGAAGCAAGACGGUACCUGACUAAGAAGCCCCGGCUAACUACGUGCCAGCAGCCGCGGUAAUACGUAGGGGGCGAGCGUUAUCCGGAUUAACUGGGUGUAAAGGGAGCGUAGACGGCCAUGCAAGCAAGGGGUGAAAGCCCGGGGCCCAACCCCGGGACUGCCCUUGGAACUGUGCGGCUAGAGUGCGGGAGGGGCAGGCGGAAUUCCUGGUGUAGCGGUGAAAUGCGUAGAUAUCAGGAGGAACACCGGAGGCGAAGGCGGCCUGCUGGACCGCGACUGACGUUGAGGCUCGAAAGCGUGGGGAGCGAACAGGAUUAGAUACCCCAGUAGUC